UCAAGUGACUAAGUGUAUGUGGUGGAUGCCUUGGCGAUCACAGGCGAUGAAGGACGUGACAGCCUGCGAAAAGCUGUGGGGAGUCGGCAAAUAGACAUUGAUCCACAGGUCUCCGAAUGAGGAAACUCACCUGUUUUACAGGUAUUCAUAACUGAAUACAUAGGUUAUGAAGGCGAACGCGGUGAACUGAAACAUCUAAGUAACCGCAGGAAAAGAAAUCAACCGAGAUUCCGAAAGUAGCGGCGAGCGAAAUCGGAGAAGCCCUGUGUUUGAUAAUGACUUCGAUACCGGAACGAUCUGGAAAGUUCGGCUAUAGAGGGUGACAGCCCCGUACGGGAAAUCGACGUCAUGGUACUAAGAACACGAUAAGUAAGGCGGGACACGUGACAUCCUGUCUGAAGACGGGGGGACCAUCCUCCAAGGCUAAAUACUCGUGAUCGACCGAUAGUGAACCAGUACUGUGAAGGAAAGGUAAAAAGAACCCCGGGAGGGGAGUGAAAUAGAUCCUGAAACCGCAUACAUACAAACAGUAGGAGCCUCGCAAGGGGUGACUGCGUACCUUUUGCAUAAUGGGUCAGCGACUUACGUUCAAUGGCAAGCUUAACCGUAUAGGGGAGGCGCAGCGAAAGCGAGUUCGAACAGAGCGAUUGAGUCGUUGGGCGUAGACCCGAAACCAGAUGAUCUAUCCAUGGCCAGGUUGAAGGUGUGGUAACACACACUGGAGGACCGAACCGACUAGUGUUGCAAAAUUAGCGGAUGAGCUGUGGAUAGGGGUGAAAGGCUAAACAAAUCUGGAGAUAGCUGGUUCUCCCCGAAAACUAUUGAGGUAGUGCCUCGUGUAUGACUCCAGGGGGUAGAGCACUGUUAUGGCUAGGGGGACAUGGCGUCUUACCAAACCAUGGCAAACUCCGAAUACUUGGAAGUUUGAGCACGGGAGACAGAGCACCGGGUGCUAACGUCCGGACUCAAAAGGGAAACAACCCAGACCGCCGGCUAAGGUCCCUAAUAUUGACUAAGUGGAAAACGAAGUGGGAAGGCUAAGACAGUCAGGAAGUUGGCUUAGAAGCAGCCAUCCUUCAAAGAAAGCGUAAUAGCUCACUGAUCGAGUCUUCCUGCGCGGAAGAUGUAACGGGGCUAAGUCAAUAACCGAAGCCGCGGAUGCACAGCAAUGUGCGUGGUAGGGGAGCGUUCCGUAAGCCUGCGAAGGUGACUCGCAAGGGUUGCUGGAGGUAUCGGAAGUGCGAAUGCUGACAUGAGUAACGUUAAAGCGGGUGAAAAGCCCGCUCGCCGUAAGCCCAAGGUUUCCUGCUCUACGUUCAUCGGAGCAGGGUGAGUCGGCCCCUAAGGCGAGGCUGAGAAGCGUAGCUGAUGGGAACAAGGUUAAUAUUCCUUGACCGCCGCCAAGUGCGAAGGGGGGACGGAGUAUUGAAGAUCAUCCGGGUGUUGGAAGUCCCGGUUUCCGAGCGUAGGAAGUCGACAGGCAAAUCCGUCGACGAAUUUCCGAGGCGAAGGAUCGAGGUUCUACGGAACCGAAGUGAUUGGAUGUGCUUCCAGGAAAAGCCUCUAAGCUCCAGCUUGGCGGGACCGUACCGCAAACCGACACUGGUGGGCGAGCUGAAUAUGCUCAGGCGCUUGAGAGAACUCAGGAGAAGGAACUCGGCAAAUUGACACCGUAACUUCGGGAUAAGGUGUGCCUUGGUAGCGUGAAGGAAGAAACAUCCGGAGCGUGAAGAGGUCUCAGAGAAUCGGUGGCUGCGACUGUUUACUAAAAACACAGCACUCUGCAAAGACGAAAGUCGACGUAUAGGGUGUGAUGCCUGCCCGGUGCUGGAAGAUUAAUUGAUGGGGUGCAAGCUCCUGAUCGAAGUCCCAGUAAACGGCGGCCGUAACUAUAACGGUCCUAAGGUAGCGAAAUUCCUUGUC
rnacentral:rRNA from 1 species